rnacentral:rRNA from 1 species
UACGUAGGGUGCGAGCGUUAAUCGGAAUUACUGGGCGUAAAGCGUGCGCAGGCGGUUUUGUAAGCCAGAUGUGAAAUCCCCGGGCUCAACCCGGGAACUGCGUUUGAAACUGGCAGGCUAGAGUUUGGCAGAGGGGGUUGGAAUUCCACGUGUAGCAGUGAAAUGCGUAGAGAUGUGGAGGAACACCGAUGGCGAAGGCAGCCCCCUGGGCCAAAACUGACGCUCAGGCACGAAAGCGUGGGGAGCAAACAGG